AUGCGUGUGCUUGUGGGUGAGGGACUGCAGAAAGGGAGAGUGCCGGGCGGGCUUAGUCGGAGAUUGAGGGCUGGGAAUCCGCUUCCGGGAGGGCACUGUCUAGUGCACUGGUAACCUGGCCUUGGCCGCCUAGCCCGAGAAGCCGAAUCUCCCUAAUCCCUGUGACCUGUGUCACCUCUGCAUCGCGGGGAGGGGAAGAAGUGGGGAGCAGUCUGGUGUCAGAUGGGCUGGCGCCGGAAGAGGGGGGCCACAGCGGGGACGAAAGGCGCCCCCACCCCGACUCCCCGGAAAUAUAAGCAAUUUGUAUUUUCCGAUCAGGUGGCGGGACUGGCUUCAUUGGGACAGCCCUAAGCCAGCUGCUGAAUGCCAGAGGCCACGAAGUGACGUUGGUCUCCCGACAGCCCGGGCCCGGCCGGAUCACGUGGGAUGAGCUGGCUGCGUCUGGGCUGCCGAGCUGCGAUGCCGCCGUCAACCUGGCCGGAGAGAACAUCCUCAACCCUCUCCGAAGGUCAGCCUGGGCCCUAAAGCUGAUACCCACUAGAGCACAGGGAGGAGAGUGUACCACUGAUGAGAACCUGUGAGCUAAGGAUGGAAUGAAACCUUCCAAAAAGAGGUUCUCCGCAGCCGCCUAGAGACCACCCAAUUGCUGGCUAAAGCCAUCACCAAAGCCCCACAACCCCCCAAGGCCUGGGUCUUAGUCACAGGUGUAGCUUACUACCAGCCCAGUCUGACUGCGGAGUAUGAUGAAGACAGCCCAGGAGGGGACUUUGACUUUUUCUCCAACCUCGUAACCAAAUGGGAAGCUGCAGCCAGGCUUCCUGGAGAUUCUACACGCCAGGUGGUGGUGCGCUCGGGUGAGAAACAAGGGCCUGGGUAUCAGACAGGGUUGGAAUGUCUUCUCUGGGCUGGGGAAGUGAUGGGAUUAGGAGAGCUGAUGGGAUUAGGAGAGCUGAGAUUACAGAGUGAGAGGAUGCUACCACUUCUAGCCAACCUGCAGAUGAGAAGGUGUGAAGUCUUAGAGAGCCAUACUGCUCACUUCUGUUACAGAGCCAAGUCAGCAUGGGGAGAGUGAGGAAGGGGAAACAGAAACCAGGAGGAGCAGUGGGGCUGCUUCAAGGCUGAGAGGACCUCUGUACCUUCCCUCUUGCCUGCUGUAGGGGUUGUACUGGGCCGUGGGGGUGGUGCCAUCGGCCACAUGCUGCUGCCCUUUCGGCUGGGCCUGGGGGGCCCCAUCGGCUCAGGCCACCAAUUCUUCCCCUGGAUACACAUCGGGGACCUGGCAGGAAUCCUGACCCAUGCUCUUGAAGCAAACCACGUGCACGGGGUCCUGAAUGGAGUGGCUCCAUCCUCCGCCACUAAUGCUGAGUUUGCCCAGGCUUUGGGUGCUGCCCUGGGCCACCGAGCCUUCAUCCCUGUCCCCAGCACUAUAGUGCAAGCUGUCUUUGGGCGAGAGCGUGCCAUCAUGCUGCUGGAGGGCCAGAACGUGAUCCCACGGCGAACACUGGCUACUGGCUACCAGUACUCCUUCCCAGAGCUAGGGGCUGCCUUAAAGGAAAUUGUAGCCUAAGUAGGUCAUGGCAAGGGCCUGAGGCCUGUCCCUCAUAGGCUUCCAGGUUAGGCACUGUGAAUAGGCUCAGCUCCUCUAGAGAGCUGAAGCCAUCUGGUUCUUAGAUUUCUCCCCUAGUCCUCUUUCCCAUUGUUCUGUUGCUCCACCUUAUUGUCUCAAGGCUGUAAUCUCAUCAGGUUGGGACAUUAAUCUUUUCAACUCCUUGCAAGAUUUUCUAGUUGGGUUUCUCUACAUGUCCUGCAGCUGCCCCACUUCUCCUUUAUGCUGUGUAGAGAAUGCUCUGCAGUUUAGGCAAUAAAGAUAAAUUAUCUCACUAA